UUGGAAAUACUUAGUAAAACUUGUCCACCAAUCAAAAGAAGGCAUCUAUUUCGCCCUAAGGUUUCCAGCCAAUGAGAGCACACCAUAGCGUUGGCCCUUCAUUGCUGUUGUAAGCGUUCCUUGAGAUGGCGGCUCUCUUCGUGCUCCAUAAUUAUUCCAUCAAAAAAAGAUGCAUUCGUCUUUUGUCCGACAAUCGUUUGCAGCAAGAGAGAGCUCUCCAUUAAGAGACAAAACAAGGGACUGCGCCAUAUAUUUUGCAAAGUGAACCAAAAUUGCAAAAAUGAAAAUUAGAAUUAGAAAAAUUAAAAAUCACUAAAAAAAUGGAAUCACAGCAAUUUUUUCGAGGUUUAAAGUUUAAAAUUGAAAAUAAUUUUUUCAAAGUGUUAGAGUCAG